CUCUAUAGCCAUACUACCCUGAAUGCACCUGAUCUUCUCUAUCUCAGUAGCUAAGCAGGGUCAGACUUGGUUAGUACUUUCGUGGAAUGCCUUAAACUUAAAAAGUGUUUUCAGUGU
rnacentral:rRNA from 1 species